CGAGCGCAACCUUAUCCUUAGUUGCCAGCACGUNAUGGUGGGACUCUAAGGAGACUGCCGGUGAUAAACCGGAGGAAGGUGGGGACGACGUCAAGUCAUCAUGGCCCUUACGGGAUGGGCUACACACGUGCUACAAUGGCAUACAGAGGGUU
rnacentral:rRNA from 1 species